UAUUCCAUAUUUUCCCUACGGAGUUGGAAAAUAGACAGUUGCCUGCUGAAUUUGUAAUUCUAGUUGUGUUGACUUGUAGCUUUUCGGCAGAUCGCAGCUGUUUCAAGUUAUUGUAGGGGGUCAAGAGGUUACAGAGAGCGGCUGUUUU